AUGGGUAGGGGAGCUUCCCAUACGGGUUGAAGCAUGACCGUAAGGACAUGUGGACAGGAUGGGAGUGAGAAUGUUGGCAUGAGUAGCGAGAUGUGGGUGAGAAUCCCACAGGCCGUAAACCCAAGGUGUCCAGGGGAAGGUUCGUCCGCCCUGGGUUAGUCGGGACCUAAGCUGAGGCCGAAAGGCGUAGGUGAUGGACAACAGGUUGAUAUUCCUGUACUACCGAUAACCGUUUGAGAGA
rnacentral:rRNA from 1 species